GAACAAGCAUACCGUCAGUGAGCUGAGGGACAACGUUAUGUGGCCUGCUGGAUGUGCAAUUGGGUUUCUGAAGAAGAGAAGACAAAAAAACAGAUGAAGAAAUAGUGGCCAAAACUUUCCCAGAUUUGAUGGAAACUGUAAAGACACAGAUCCAAGAAGCUCGGUGAACCUCAAGCACCGAUGUCAAGCUACUAGGGAAACUGCUGUGAGUGAGCAAGGGUGGGAAAGACAGCCAGGAUGGACCCCAUUCUUGAGGGGGAAGCCGGCUCCACAAACCUGAAUCUCUGAAAUGUUCUGAAGAUGUUGGUGCAAGUGUGAAUUGUGGAAGAAUGACUGGAACCAUGGAAUAAAGAAAAAAUGAACAGAGAAGUCAACAGAUGAAGAUGUUUUUCCAGGUAGCUUGGAAAUCCUGAACUAGAGAUGCCUUUGACCUGAG